rnacentral:rRNA from 1 species
UAUUGGACAAUGGGCGAAAGCCUGAUCCAGCAAUGCCGCGUGAGUGAUGAAGGCCUUAGGGUUGUAAAGCUCUUUUACCUGGGAUGAUAAUGACAGUACCGGGAGAGUAAGCUCCGGCUAACUCCGUGCCAGCAGCCGCGGUAAUACGGAGGGAGCUAGCGUUGUUCGGAAUUACUGGGCGUAAAGCGCACGUAGGCGGCUUUGUAAGUUAGAGGUGAAAGCCCGGGGCUCAACUCCGGAACUGCCUUUAAGACUGCAUCGCUUGAAUCCAGGAGAGGUGAGUGGAAUUCCGAGUGUAGAGGUGAAAUUCGUAGAUAUUCGGAAGAACACCAGUGGCGAAGGCGGCUCACUGGACUGGUAUUGACGCUGAGGUGCGAAAGCGUGGGGAGCAAACAG